rnacentral:rRNA from 1 species
GACGAACGCUGGCGGCGUGCUUAACACAUGCAAGCCGAACGGUGAACCCGCUUCGGUGGGGGAUCAGUGGCGAACGGGUGAGUAACACGUGGGCAACCUGCCCCCGGCUCUGGGAUAACCCCAAGAAAUUGGGGCUAAUACCGGAUAUGACCGCUGACCGCAUGGUCUGGUGGUGGAAAGAUUUAUCGGCUGGGGAUGGGCCCGCGGCCUAUCAGCUUGUUGGUGGGGUAGUGGCCUACCAAGGCGACGACGGGUAGCCGGCCUGAGAGGGUGACCGGCCACACUGGGACUGAGACACGGCCCAGACUCCUACGGGAGGCAGCAGUGGGGAAUAUUGCGCAAUGGGCGGAAGCCUGACGCAGCGACGCCGCGUGGGGGAUGACGGCCUUCGGGUUGUAAACCUCUUUCAGCAGGGACGAAGCCGCAAGGUGACGGUACCUGCAGAAGAAGCACCGGCCAACUACGUGCCAGCCGCCGCCGUAAUAC